CAUAUUUAUCACCACAAACAUGUUCGAAUUCCUGCCAAAUAACAACCUUCCUUUGGGCCGGUGUUAAACGCAUGGAAUACUAACAUACACAGUCAUCUAAUACUUCAAAAUCAAUCAAUCUACACAAAAGAGGUUACUUUAGUAAAAUAAUGUUUCAAUUGACCAAUUUAAAAUAUUAGAUGCAAAACUAAUUAGUUCUUUAAG
rnacentral:lncRNA from 1 species